rnacentral:lncRNA from 1 species
AGUUGCGUCCCCAAUUGCGCCGCUGGCCUGAGCUAAAGGAGCAGCUCCUCACUGUUCGAGACGAGACCAGCGUUGGGGUUCUGGGUCACCUCUUUUCUCCCGGCUUUUCCCUUGCUCUCUGGUUCCUGAAUUAGCUGUUUGUUUAUGGCUCCAGACGUGUGUGUGCCAGCGAGCCGAGGCAACGCGCGAGGGAGGGAAUUGAUCUUUCCCCAGACUCAAAGCUGGAGCCGAAGAAGUGCGGGGGAUUUGGGGGUUCUGAGUGGGACUCAGACCCUGGGUGCUGAGGGGAAGCCCGUGGGCUCUCUGGCCCGCUUCUCUAACCUCAGCGACCUUGCAGGAAUCCUCAGGCCUGAGAGCGCCCAGGCUCUGGGCUUUGCAGAAAGUGGCGGCGGCUGUGUCCCGGGUUUUAAAAUCUACGCAAAGAAAGGAGGCAAAGCUGAAAGCUUGUCGCGUGUCAGAAGCAACCUGCCGUGAAAUCCGCUAAUGCGCCCCGACUCGCCCUUCGCGAAUUCUAUUGACCAUGGCUUUUGUCGGAGAGAGAAUUCUAACUACUGCUGCUCUGGGCUCAGAGCUGAGGCUGGAAACAAGUAAAUCUAGCAAGAAUAGAUGGAGAGGUGCUGGUGACUGGAGCCACGUGGCCUUGCAUAGAAACCUGCCUUUUACUCUGCCUGCCUUGCUCCAGUUCAGGAAAAAGGUCGGCCCCUUUGGAACAGAUUUGCUUACUUGGAAGGCUGGGUAUUCAUUUGGCAAGUUCUUUCCAGCUCUAGCCAGGCUAGGGGAGAAAAUGAGACAAUGGAAGAUUGCUCCACAGGCUUUUGGUCAAAGCUAACCCAAGGCAGGAAAUACUUGAAGAUCACGUCCUAAAUUUCAACCCCACCCCGACCCCUUCAAGACUCUAGGGCAUCACAGAGCUGCUAGAGUGGAGAAAGAAUGCUGAGAUCUGAGUCUGGUUGUCAGUGGGCACCCAGCCUCCACAACAGGAACCACAGCCAUAGUGUCAAACUGUGUGAAGAAGGAGCCUGAAGAUUCACAGCUCCAGGUUGCUGGAGAGAGUUAGUCCCUAAAUGAGGCUGGAGAAGUGGGCAAUGAGAAAGAUCAGGUGAGUUCCCCAGGAAGCCAGUCACAGAAUCUGCAUUCCUGUUGCAAGAAGCUGAUGCUGGAGACCCAAAGACUUGACCUGCCGAAGGGUACCUACCCAUCUCCCUCCUGGCCUAGUCAGGGACCUCCACCUCACCUCCUCACUGCCUCCAUCUGGGAGAAAGUCACCUCGACUUUCAAGACUAAAUGAAUCAGAUCACAGAACCUGUCAGAUUUCCAAGGAACAAGCAACCCAUACCCUUCCCCGAAACCCUAACACGGAGAAAGUCCAUGGAAGGGAUGGCUGGCAGAGCUUUCAUUUCAACAAGUACUGGGAGCUAAACCUUCUAGGCCGGUUUCCAGAGCAGCAACAAGAACAUAAAAGGAAGCAAUUAACGGUUUUCUAAAUCAGUCCCAGCUUGUGCCGCCUGACUCCAAACCUAAAGGUGCAUUUAAGGGUACUAAGGGACCUGGCUAGGUAGUAGUUGUGUUUAUUUGUUUGUUUGUUUGUUUGUUUGUUUUCUAAUGAUACUGUUAAAUGUGUGUGUGAAACCACAGCCAAGAAGCCACAUUGUUCCAGAACCAGGCAGUAAAAUUGUAGGAGUGAGCACUGCAGACAGCAUGCCCAAUAUGGAGUACAGGGAAAUAUGGAGUAUGGGAGACAUGGAGAAACUGCGGUGAAUUCUGACAAUUACGUUGAACACAUUGGGAGUUUGCAGGAAGAUACACUGUGGGCUCUUUUGUAUUUUUAUGUAGAUUUAAAAACAAACAAAACCCCCCAAACCAGGCUGUUGAUGCAAUCAUAGCAUCUCAGAUGUAGCAUAUUUAUAUUUAUAUUUCCCCAAGUAUAUUCACAGGAUAUAUAUAUCCUGGGUUGAUGUGGAAAACAAACAAACAUUUUGCUGAUUCCAGCACAAACUCUGAAAGCCAAAACAAACAAACAAACCACUGUGGAGGACAAGGAGAGGGUGACUUCAAGCAGUCCUUCCUAUAGUCUGGGACUGUGGAGCCCAGAAAAAGCUAAGUAGAUCAUCCUGAACUAAAAGUUACCUUGGGAAACAAGACUUGAGAUCCGGAGUUGAGGUCAUGCGGGGGUCAUCCAGUAUUCCUUUGGAGCAUAGCAUAGCUGAGAACUUAGCUGGACUCAGUCACUUCAGACUGGAGAUUGGGAAAUUUCUUCCCCUGGCAUGCACUGCACCAACCCUGAGCUAAGGUGUCCCUGACUCUCCCUCAGGAUGCUCCUGACAGAGGUACUGCACUUCCCAACUGCCUUAGGCCCCUCGGGGUGAUGCCAGGCAAGUGAAACAACAACAACAACAACAACAACAAAAGAAAAAAAACUCAAUAGUAAAUUAUUUGUUCAGCCUUCUGUCUUUUUAUGAAAAUAAAAGCCAACGCUUUGUCAUUUUUAAUCGCAUAAGCAGACAAUAAAUCUAAUUUCGAUAUUGA